rnacentral:rRNA from 1 species
UACGGAAUGUGCAAACGUUAUUCGGAAUCACUGGGCUUAAAGAGUCCGUAGGCGGCUUGUUAGGUGAGGUGUGAAAUCCCUCGGCUCAACCGAGGAAUUGCGCUUCAAACCGGCAAGCUAGAGGAGGAUAGAGGUGGGCGGAACUGAUGGUGGAGCGGUGAAAUGCGGUUGAUAUCAUCAGGAACACCGGAGGCGAAGGCGGUCCACUGGGUCCUUUCUGACGCUGAGGGACGAAAGCUAGGGGAGCGAACGGG